GGGGUCAUGCCCUGGAAAGGUAGGGCGGCGGGCUCCAGUCCCUGGAGCAUUGAGGGGGACACCCGUAAGACGUGGGUUCGAGUCCCACCGGCCCCA
rnacentral:tRNA from 1 species